CAGCAGCCACGGUAAUACAGAGGGUGCAAGCGUUAAUCGGAAUUACUGGGCGUAAAGCGCGCGUAGGUGGUUUGUUAAGUUGGAUGUGAAAUCCCCGGGCUCAACCUGGGAACUGCAUCCAAAACUGGCAAGCUAGAGUAUGGUAGAGGGUGGUGGAAUUUCCUGUGUAGCGGUGAAAUGCGUAGAUAUAGGAAGGAACACCAGUGGCGAAGGCGACCACCUGGACUGAUACUGACACUGAGGUGCGAAAGCGUGGGGAGCAAACAGGAUUAGAUACCCGAGUAGUCCCUGUCUCUUAUAC
rnacentral:rRNA from 1 species